rnacentral:misc_RNA from 1 species
GAAAUGCGAUAAUUAAUGUGAAUUGCAGAAUUCAGUGAAUCAUCGAGUCUUUGAACGCACAUUGCGCCCCCUGGUAUUCCGGGGGGCAUGCCUGUCCGAGCGUCAUUGCUGCCCUCAAGCACGGCUUGUGUGUUGGGCCUCCGUCCCUGGCAACGGGGACGGGCCCAAAAGGCAGUGGCGGCACCAUGUCUGGUCCUCGAGCGUAUGGGGCUUUGUCACCCGCUCCCGUAGGUCCAGCUGGCAGCUAGCCUCGCAACCAAUCUUUUUAACCAGGUUGACCUCGGAUCAGGUAGGGAUACCCGCUGAACUUAAGC